rnacentral:rRNA from 1 species
UUUUUGCAGCUUCACAUCUGCUCCUCUUUGUGCAUUAGCUGGAUCUCAGUGUUAUGCUUGGUUCCACUCAGCGUGAUAAGUUAUCUAUCGCUGAGGACACUGUAAAAGGUGGCCAAGGUAAAUGCGGAUGAACCGCUUCUAACAGUCCAUUUAAUUGGACAAUAUUAUUUAUGAUCUGAUCUCAAAUCAGGUAGGACUACCCGCUGAACUUAAGCAUAUCAAUAAGCGGAGGAAAAGAAACUAACAAGGAUUCCCCUAGUAACGGCGAGUGAAGCGGGAAGAGCUCAAAUUUAAAAUCUGGCAGUGUAUUCUGUCCGAGUUGUAGUCUAGAGAAGCAUCAUCCGUGCUGGACCAUGUACAAGUCUCUUGGAACAGAGCGUCAUAGAGGGUGAGAAUCCCGUCCUUGACAUGGACUCCCAGUACUUUGUGUUGUGCUCUCAACGAGUCGAGUUGUUUGGGAAUGCAGCUCAAAAUGGGUGGUAAAUUCCAUCUAAAGCUAAAUAUUGGCGAGAGACCGAUAGCGAACAAGUACCGUGAGGGAAAGAUGAAAAGCACUUUGGAGAGAGAGUUAAACAGUACGUGAAAUUGUUGAAAUGGAAACGCUUGAAGUCAGUCGCGUUCUCUGGGAUUCAGCCUUGCUUUUGCUUGGUGCAUUUCCUAGUCUACGGGCCAGCAUGAAUUUUGACCGGUGGAAAAAGAUUUGGGGAAUGUGGCACCUUCGGGUGUGUUAUAGCCCCUUGUCAUAUACAUCGGUUGGGAUUGAGGUCUUAGUGCACGCUUCGGUUGUGCUUUGAUGCUGGCGUAAUGGCUUUAAACGACCCGUCUUGAAACACGGACCAAGGAGUCUAACAUGUCUGCAAGUGUUUGGGUGCAAAACCCGAGCGCGAAAUGAAAGUGAUAGUUGGGAACCUCUUCAGAGGGGCACCGACGCCCGGACCAGACCUUCUGUGACGGAUCCGAGGUAGAGCAUAUAUGUUGGGACCCGAAAGAUGGUGAACUAUGCCUGCAUAGGGUGAAGCCAGAGGAAACUCUGGUGGAGGCUCGUAGCGAUUCUGACGUGCAAAUCGAUCGUCAAAUGUGGGUAUAGGGGCGAAAG